rnacentral:rRNA from 1 species
UACGGAGGGGGCUAGCGUUGUUCGGAAUUACUGGGCGUAAAGCGCGCGUAGGCGGACCUGCAAGUCGGGGGUGAAAGCCCGAGGCUCAACCUCGGAACUGCCUUCGAUACUGCGGGUCUCGAGUCCGGGAGAGGUGAGUGGAAUUCCUAGUGUAGAGGUGAAAUUCGUAGAUAUUCGGAGGAACACCAGUGGCGAAGGCGGCUCACUGGUCCGGUACUGACGCUGAGGUGCGAAAGCGUGGGGAGCAAACAGGGAU